UAUGAAAGCGCAUACACUUGGAGGUGAAGCCACUUGUACUAUCUAAGAGCUCCUGACCGUUCCUGUUACCAGUCUCGGAAAGAAAAGGGGACAGUUCUCUCUCUGGCUCAAACCCUUCUCUUCCCAUGUUAACGGGUGUUUCAUCAUCAGCAUCUGACCUUCUUUCAGAGUAGGCAGUGUUUCAGAUGAAGGUUUCCACUAUGGUCCCACUUGCCUGUUGCCUUGUAAUCUCCUUUGUUUUACCAGUGGUGUUAAGUAAAAGAUGCAUGGAAGUCCAAGGAAACCUUACCGAUCUUAAUCCACCGACCAACCUCAUGAUUGUGGAUAGGCAGCUCGGGGAAUUGACAAUUUCUUGGAAUGAUAGCCUCAGUGAAAUCAGAAAAGCUAAUAUAUGUGUUAGAUAUCCAUUUGAGUACAAGUACUUCGAUUCUCAAACUUGGCAAGAAGAUUCCAGGCUUCUGGAGCCAGAAUAUACAAAAACAUUUGAAUUACACCGGGGGGUUUACAUACGAGUUAAAAAUAUGGUCCUGACUAUGCGCAAUAUAAUUAAAAAAGAAAGUAACUGGACUGUAAUAGCUAUCCAACCACCACCAGGU